rnacentral:misc_RNA from 1 species
CAUCAUCAGCUUGCUAUUUUGGCUUCCUAUUCGGGAGAUGAGCUGGUGGCUGUGUAUCGAUAUUUUAGGAGUCUGGCAGUUGAUAAUCCCUUUACGACAGCAAGAGAUAACUUGAUUGUUGCUUUAAGAACCGACAGAGUUACACUCAACUGCUUGGGGAUGUUAAUGGAUCUGUGAUCAAGGAUUCAUCUGUGCGCAAGAAUAGCAAGGGGAGAGGAAAAGUGGAAGCAAAACUUGCAGUUAAGGACACAAACAUGGAAGCCAAUGUUGUCAAUGAAAGGACAUCUAAUAUCCGAGAGAUGUAUAAAUCAUUUUGCAUUCAGUUUGUCUGGUUGAACGGUAUUCUUUUCACGCGCACGAGCCUGGAGACAUUUGCUGAAGUUCUCUCAUCUGUCAUUGGUGAAUUCUGUGAGCUUCUUUCUUCUGGACCAGAAGAGCAGCUAAAUUUUGGUGCAGAUGCUGUUGAGAAUGCCCUUUUCAUUGUACGGCUCAUCUCUAUUCUUAUAUUCACAGUUCACAAUGU